CAGCCGCCAACUCCCGGCCAACCCGCAGGAAUCGAGAAAUAAAAUCUCCUAAACCGGCUGUCACCCAGCAACCCCAGCCCUGCCGAAGUGCUGCGGCACGGGAGGGGUUCCCGAGGUCUCCCCGAAACCAAAGGACUCCACCAGCUUUAAUUUACAGAAGUGUUGUGGCAGCAGCAAAGAAAACAAGGAACUGGGAGGAGCUGCCACUGAAUUCCCAGUCUCUUGGCUCCAAAGUUUACACACCACUGCUUUGUCUGGAGCUCAUCGAUCAGGUGUUGCCAUUAAUAUUCUCAUUGGUCAAAUGAGACUGAAAAAGACAGCCAGAAACCCCCCUGCAUUCUUCAAUUAUCUUAUUCAGAUGAAGACAGUGGUGACCAGUACUCCAAAGGAGGAAUUUAUGGAACCUCUGUUAUCAGGGACUGUAAGACUCAAUGGAGUCGAGAGAUUGAUCUAUUGGGGAAGGGGUGAUUUAAAACUAAACAAAAGAACAUCUAAAACUUAAGAGGAAUGUUUGAAUCAUGUAUGAGAAUUUAUGAAUAUGUAAUAGGGUUCUGUUUUUAAGGGACAAUCCUUUGUUAGUAAGGUGUGCUCUCUUGGCUGAAUGCUGAGGCACCCGACUAUAUUUGUACAUUUUACUUUAUUUCUAUCUCCUAACUGUCUUUCUAUUAAACUUCUUAAAUUUCAUACGAAAAAUAUGUGAACCUCGUUUUUCACAAUCCCCAAAUUCCAUCCCUCUACAAGGAAUUUGUGACACUGGUACCUGUUGCUGUGUCCAAGAGGACAAGAGGGGAC